rnacentral:rRNA from 1 species
CUGCUGCCUUCCGUAGGAGUCUGGUCCGUGUCUCAGUACCAGUGUGGGGGACCUUCCUCUCAGAACCCCUACGCAUCGUCGUCUUGGUGGUCCGUUACACCGCCAACUAACUGAUGCGACGCAUGCCCAUCCGCCACCGGAAUUAACCUUUGGCACCAACAGGAUGUCCCGUCGAUGCACUAUGCCGUAUUAGACGGAAUUUCUCCCGAUUAUCCGGCUGUGGCAGGCAGGUUGCAUACGUGUUACUCA